rnacentral:rRNA from 1 species
UUGCUUUCUUUGCUGGCGACCGGCGCACGGGUGAGUAACACGUAUCCAACCUACCCUUUACUCGGGGAUAGCCUUUCGAAAGAAAGAUUAAUACCCGAUAGUAUAAUGAUUCCGCAUGGUUUCAUUAUUAAAGGAUUUCGGUCAUCGAUGGGGAUGCGUUCCAUUAGGUUGUUGGCGGGGUAACGGCCCACCAAGCCUUCGAUGGAUAGGGGUUCUGAGAGGAAGGUCCCCCACAUUGGAACUGAGACACGGUCCAGACUCCUACGGGAGGCAGCAUG